rnacentral:piRNA from 1 species
UACGGCGUGAGAAGACGAAGGCAUCGGU